rnacentral:lncRNA from 1 species
AAGAAGGUUCAACUAGUCUUACAUAUUUUAUAUGGCAAAAUAUUCUUAUAUAUUCUGUGUUCCCAGGUGAAUUUAGAUGAAUGCAGAGGGCAUUUGGGGGUGCAAAAGUAACUGAGCGAUGAGAUGCUUAUAAAGCAGAUAUCAGUUAUCCUCUGUUCUUUGAAUGAUAUCUCAUAAAGGCAAAGAAAUGACACUGGAUAAUGCAAGGCGGUAAGAGGAGAGGAGACAGUGGCUCCGUUUGCUGCUGGGGAAAUUUUUCCUGUGGAAUGGACACAGAAGAAGCAGCAGAGGGCUUUCUCUCUGUGAGGUCAUACACUCUGGAGCCAGUGGUACAAGUCUCCAUCUGACUGGCCAGGAAGAAGGUAGCAUCUGCCCAUUCACAUACAGAAGACCAGGUGAAAUUAUUUGAAUAACACUCACUCAACUCAAUAACAGAGUGACCCAAAGGUCAACAUCCCUAUUUU